rnacentral:rRNA from 1 species
CCCUUAGAUGUCCUGGGCUGCACGCGCGCUACACUGAUGUGUCCAGUAAGCACCUAACCUCUUCCGAAAGGAACGGGUAACCUUUGCAAAGCACAUCGUGAUGGGGAUAGAUUAUUGCAAUUAUUAGUCUUGAACGAGGAAUUCCUAGUAAGUGCAAGUCAUCAGCUUGCGCUGAUUACGUCCCUGCCCUUUGUACACACCGCCCGUCGCUACUACCGAUUGAAUGGUUUAGUGAGAUCUCUGGAUUGACGCUGGCUAGGGGGCGACCCUUGGCCAGACUGUUGAGAAACUGCUCAAACUUGAUCAUUUAGAGGAAGUAAAAGUCGUAACA